AACGAACGCUGGCGGCAGGCCUAACACAUGCAAGUCGAACGCUGUAGCAAUACAGAGUGGCAGACGGGUGAGUAACGCGUGGGAACAUGCCCUUUGGUUCGGAAUAACUCAGGGAAACUUGAGCUAAUACCGGAUACGCCCUUAGGGGGAAAGAUUUAUUGCCGAAGGAUUGGCCCGCGUCCGAUUAGCUAGUUGGUGAGGUAACGGCUCACCAAGGCGACGAUCGGUAGCUGGUCUGAGAGGAUGAUCAGCCACACUGGGACUGAGACACGGCCCAGACUCCUACGGGAGGCAGCAGUGGGGAAUAUUGGACAAUGGGCGCAAGCCUGAUCCAGCCAUGCCGCGUGAGUGAUGAAGGCCCUAGGGUUGUAAAGCUCUUUCGCCAGGGACGAUAAUGACGGUACCUGGAUAAGAAGCCCCGGCUAACUUCGUGCCAGCAGCCGCGGUAAAAC
rnacentral:rRNA from 1 species